rnacentral:rRNA from 1 species
AGCGAACGCUGGCGGCAGUCCUAACACAUGCAAGUCGAACGGAUCCUUCGGGAUUAGUGGCGGACGGGUGAGUAACACGUGGGAACGUGCCCUUUGGUUCGGAACAACUCAGGGAAACUUGAGCUAAUACCGGAUGUGCCCUUCGGGGGAAAGAUUUAUCGCCAUUGGAGCGGCCCGCGUCUGAUUAGCUAGUUGGUGAGGUAACGGCCCACCAAGGCGACGAUCAGUAGCUGGUCUGAGAGGAUGAUCAGCCACACUGGGACUGAGACACGGCCCAGACUCCUACGGGAGGCAGCAGUGGGGAAUCUUGCGCAAUGGGCGAAAGCCUGACGCAGCCAUGCCGCGUGAAUGAUGAAGGUCUUAGGAUUGUAAAAUUCUUUCAGCGGGGACGAUAAUGACGGUACCCGCAGAAGAAGCUCCGGCUAACUUCGUG